UAAAAAAUUUCUGCAGUGUUAUCCCCUGCUUCCAGUCCCCUCAAGGUGGUUUGGUGAUUGCUUUCUGAUCCUGUAGAAGGCAGAAUGAGGGCUAUGCCCAAACGACUUCUCUUUCCCCACCUCUCUAUCAUGUUUAAUAACACCAUGGAAGUUCUUUUUAGCAGUUUCUAGCUUCUAUGACCUAGUUGCUUCUAUCUAGCAGUUUGUAGUCUCCAGUCAGCUCUGUCUGCAAGGAAUCCUUCCUUUGGUGGGAGGUCACACUCAGUGAUGUUUCCACUCCACCAUGUUUCUUCUCCAACAUGUAUGUGGUACAGGCGAGAAGUGGGUUUGUGCUGCAGAUGUAGCAGCUGGGUCCUCUUCUUGAGGGGAAGAGAAUAGAAAACUCAGGCAGUUUCCAGGCAUGUUGAGUUGUAAUAAUACAGUUGGAACUGUGGGGAGAACAGGGCUGGUAGAACUAUCUGCCUUCACUCCUUCCCGUAAGGCAAUUGCAGUUAAAAUGGUUGUGUAUUCCUGGAAGGAGCUCAUUCCCCAUGAGCCUAGCUUUCUCUAAAUUUAGGUGAGUUGAGUCCUGUUUUAAUUCUUUUCCAUUUGUGCUUCCUGCCUUCCUGCUUACCACAGCUCAGUUUUGAGAAUCCAGCCCUUGCUGCUGGCUCUCCUAAUGCCUGGCUUCCUUUGUUAACAACGUGGUGGUUGGUCCAGGUUUUCCAGCUGCUCCUGAAACAUGCAGUAUGUUGCUGCAGUGUCUUUGAGGGCUGAAGGCCAUGAAGUAAAAUGUAAAUCUUAGAUGAGCAGAAUGGCUAUGUCUGAAAUCUUGAGUGGCCUUAGCUUGGAUCAUUUCACAAACUGACAGACAGUCCUGCUAGUUUGCUGAAGCUGCUGCUAUAAAUUUUUGCUACCAUUCCCAAGAAUACUUGGGGACUGGAUUGUUAAUGAAUAUAAGACUCCAGCUUCCCUGACGAUUUUUGUCAGAAGUUCCACUGCAACCUGAAAUGCAUGAAUCUUUCAGUGCUUGUCCAGUGAGGGCUGGAGUUGGUUUCUUCAGUGAAUCUUUCUUAGCUCUUUGUUCAUACAGUGCAGACAUACCUCAGCUUCCUGCCAGAAUUCCAUUUUCUGAGCAAAAAUUAGACUACAGUACAGUUGUAGGCUGCACUUCAUCACAGGAACUUAGGACUGGAGCCUAGGAGGACCCCUGGAAAAAAGCCUGAAGUCUUGCGUGGUACUUCACAUAGUUAGUAGUAGUAGCCACUUUUGGAGUUGCUGAGUUCUCAGAAGUAAUCCAAAAGUGUAUUUAUCAUCAGAGAGGAAAUGUAAUUGCUAUUUUAUGGUAAAUAAUGGCAAGGGAAGCGUUAGCCUAUGCUGCCUGGAAGAAUUUGUUGCCUGUUUUAUUAAUGACUCCUUUGGCUUUUGGUAUAUUGCUUCAUUUUCUGUAGAGAUAUUCCCACUGCAGAGCUGACAUUGGAACUAGAACACAGCCUGACCAGAAACUUGCUUUUCUUCAUAAGAUGACUAUUCAGAAAACUCAAGUACUGGCUAACAGGGGCAGCUGAAGGUGCAGGCUUGAGUUUGGGUUUGGUGCCAGCCAGGGCUGUCAGACUGCACAUUUUGCAGUGAGAACACAAGUUAGUUAAGCCAAGGUGCUGUUAGUGAGUUGUCUUGUGGUGUCCCACAGUUCUAUAUAGCCUCUGAACUAGAAGUCACAUUGGCCAGGUCAGCACUUGAACCCCAGUUUGUCAGCACCAUUUGUUAAACAGAAAUAAUGCAUGAAGGUCAUCCUUCCUGGCUGCCAUCAGAACAUAACUGACAUUUGGUAAAGCUGCUCUGAGGCAUCACUGGGACCCAUAACCUGAAGAAAUGUGUCCAGGAUGACUUUUUUCUAAGUCUUGAGCAGACAGGAAUGAAAAGGCAGAGAAUCACUGUGGGUUUUGAGACUGAAUUCCUUAAGGACAUUGUCAGUAAAAAUUCUUGGUGCCAAAUGUUUUGUUUUGCCUUCAAAAGAGCUCUGCAUUUGUAACGAGGAAUGCUAUUUGGAAAUUAUGAUAUAAAGUAUUGUUCCCAUGUUACUGCCAGACACAGCAGGUCUGUGCUAAAUGACAAAGAGCAAGUGCACCCUGCAAGCAAAUUCUUGGAGCUGUAUUCAUGCAUGCUAAAACCCAUGAGACAUCGCAGUGAACCAGCAUAACGCAACACCAUGGGAGUUGUAUGGGUUGUGUGCUAGUCCUUGGGGCCGUUGGCACAAAGCUUUGCAGAAGAGAGUUUUCACAUGGUUUCCAGUAACCUAGGUCAGUUCUGUGACAAGAAGAUAAACUCUCUGGGUUUCCAUACUUACAAAAUAGGAUGAUAAGUACUUGCUCAUCUUACGUCUGUUUGUGGGGAUUAAUUAACUAAUAUUUGAAGAGAACAGUAUAGGAACAGCACAGGUUUUGGCAAUAUGAUGAUGUACAUACUAUAAUGCCAACAGUCUACACAGAAGGAAAAGACAGCAGUGCUUCUUGCCACCAGUGAGAGACAAAUGAGGUACAAUGUUGCUGUGAAUCAUCUUGGUAGGUGAUUCUGCUGGUUAGAGUAGGUUUCUUGCACAGGUUGUUACCACUCACAAGUUUAGUUUGCACUGUCAGAUAGAUACCAUCUGGUAUAAUAGAGACAGAGUAUCAGCUGCAGGUAGUUAUUGAAUGCAUGCAUUGACUUGAACUCAGAAAAUGUUAAUCUACUGAGUCAUUGUGCAUGCGUGCAGACAAUUAUGUGAUGUCAUGUGGUCUACCAGAUAAGGAGGAGUAAGGACAAAAAUGUGGUCAGAGUUCUAACUAUGAAUAUGUAGAACCUCCCCUCUCAAAACGAGACCAAGAAAAUCUACCCUUCCUGGCCACAGCUGCUGUGCUUGUGGAAGGACCCACCCUGUCACUGAGGUCCCAUCAGCUGUUACUUGACAUGAUGUGCCCAGCCUGGGAUGGACUUUGCUCCCAAAUGAAAGGAGCCAAACUCCAAGCAGAGAGAAGCUCACUGCUGUCUCCUGACUGAAAUCUCAGCAGGGUUUCCCUUCCACCCUGAACACAAGCACUGGCUCUCACUGACAUGAAGGAUCAUGAUGAUGUGUUGCUCUGUACCCGCAGGGCUCAACCCUUUCUAGGGAAAGAAACACUAAAGAAACAAGAGCUUUGGCAAAUAUCUGGGCUUCUGGGUCUGACCACGAUACUUUGUGCAUCUCUUAAAGUAUUUUCAUUGCCUGUGCCAGAAUGGUGCUUGCUGUGGUUCUUCAUUGGAGCCACGGCAGCAUCCAUACUCCAACAACAAACCUGCAAAAUGGGGCACUGUGGUUAUGAUAAUUAUAUAUAUGCAUGUAAGCAUGGUAGUGGAGGGAUCAAUGGAAAGAACAGUGUAACAUGUGCUGGAGAUAUGCUGGUUCGUCAAAGUAUUCUAUGCACCAAUCAGCAUCACUUCCAUGCUGUUUGAGGCAGCUGUUCAUCACUCAGCCCCUAUAAACACCUUCCUUUUUGGCAUAUAUGUUCCAGUGCCUUCGAGAGGACUAUCCAUUUGGAGUAAUGGGGUGAAACCAAGCCAGGAAUAUCAUUAGACCAGCAUUUGUUACCAGUAAGAAAUACUGGAGUCUGAAAAACAGUCUCUGAAGAUGUGGGUGAAACCCUGGUACUUAGGCCAUUGCAACUGGACUGAACCAGACCACGGGAAAUAGAGCUGUGGGGAAGAACUUGUAUUGCAGUAGCUUCCCAACUAAAAGUAGCAAAUGAAAUUGCAAAGAGCUGAGAAGAAAAUGUUGAUUGAAAAUGAAAACUUAUGGAGAGUUGUGUGUCAGUGAAAUGAAAUGCAAUGAAAUAGGACUAGCUGCUGAGAAGGAAUUCACACGUGGUCA